rnacentral:lncRNA from 1 species
CGUGACAGAGGUAAUGGCUAGUAAAAUCGGCCGAUGGAGUUACAGUAGUUCAGCCGAUGGAAUCACAGAGGUUCGGCCGAUGAAGACAGGAGGAUUCGGCUGAUGGAAGCUGAUGAGGUCUAGCCGAUACAAGCAGGAGAGUUCCAGCCGAUCGGAGAUGUUGGAGCUUCGAUCGAUAAGAGACAAAAGAGUCUUGAUCGGUGAGGAGGUUGCAAGAUGGUGGAUAUAGGGUUGGCCGAUAAGAGACAAAAAAGUCUUGAUCGGCGAGGAGGUUGCAAGAUGGUGGAUAUAGGGUUAGCUAAUAGAGACUAAAUUCGUUUCCGACUCUUGUACGAGUUGUUUUAUUUAGAAAGUUUGUUUCUUUGGUUAUAGAUAUUGUAUUGCGUCGUAAUCGACUAGCACUACAAGUCUUGAGUUUAGGAUAUAAAUAGAGAUCCUGCUAGGUCUGAAAAAGAUGUACACACAUAAACAAACAAAUCUACUUUAUUCGCAAUUUAUUUUCAAGUCAGCGACUUUGCCAAAGUUCUGUUUUUCCUCACGAGUUCUUCCAAGCUAACAGGGCUACAUCAUCU